rnacentral:rRNA from 1 species
UACGGGAGGCAGCAGUGGGGAAUAUUGCACAAUGGGCGCAAGCCUGAUGCAGCCAUGCCGCGUGUAUGAAGAAGGCCUUCGGGUUGUAAAGUACUUUUCAGUCGUGAGGAAGGUGUUAAGGUUAAUAACCUUAGCAAUUGACGUUAGCGACAGAAGAAGCACCGGCUAACUCCGUGCCAGCAGCCGCGGUAAUACGGAGGGUGCGAGCGUUAAUCGGAAUUACUGGGCGUAAAGGGCACGCAGGCGGUUAAUUAAGUUGGAUGUGAAAUCCCCGGGCUUAACCUGGGAAUGGCAUUCAAGACUGGUUAGCUAGAGUCUUGUAGAGGGGGUAGAAUUCCAUGUGUAGCGGUGAAAUGCGUAGAGAUGUGGAGGAAUACCGGUGGCGAAGGCGGCCCCUGGGCAAAGGCUGACGCUCAUGUGCGAAAGCGUGGGGAGCAAACAGGGAUUAGAUACC